UAGAAAGCUACAUACAUACACUUGGCCGAAGCAAAUCACCUCAAGGCUGCGAGGGAAUAACUACAACACUCUUCUGCAAGUGAUAAAACUGAAGAGCUCAUGGAACGGAUGUAUUAAAGAUGGCGCUGAUGGAUCAGAGUUGAUACCCACAUUCUUGAAUGAUCUUCAUCCAGUCACUGGGUUUGAUAAGGCUAAGUUUCAGAUUGAUUUGAUUGGAAGAUACCCUUCCAUUGUUCAACAAAUCUCUUGUCAAGUAUAUGCAUGUGUUUGCCCAUUGUGGAUGGUUCUAGUCUUGAGACCAUCCUUGAGGUUCCAAGCUACCACCCUUAUGCAAACAAUGACAAUCGUGCUUUCAAAUGGGUGUAUGAAGCUUUGUUAGAUGACACAGAGUCAGUGGCUUACCAAAAUGCAAGACUUGAAGCAGAGGUGAAAGACACUAACAAGAAAGUGUGUUUGAGCAGAUGGAAACGAAGGUGAAGGUCGAAGCUCAUAUAUCUAAAGGGUUAGGAAUGAGUUGUUGGAAGCCAAAUCUUGGUCUGCAAGGCCAAGGAUUGCUCUCUUUAUUGUGGGAUGUAUGCUCAUAACUGGUUUCAUCAAACUAAUGAAGUUUGAGGCACUAAAGGCUAAUGUAUUUAGUUCUUCUUAUUUGUAAUAAGAGGGUCGCCUUCUCUCUCUCUUUUAUAGUGAAAGUUUCUUUGCUCUUUGUCAUUUGUUAUGUGUAUGUUUGGAAUCUUCAUGUUCUUGAAAAACAUCAGAAAAAGACCAUCUGGACAAGACUAAGUCACUGAAAGCAUAAGCUAUCAGUGUGAACAAGAUUAUCAACCAAACAACACAGCAAACACCACCAUCAGAGAUGGAUCUCAACUUUGAAUUCAGUAAAAGUUCAGUUCACUUGACUGACUAUGUAUUUCAAUCCAAAAAGAAUCUGUAACCAAAUCCACAACAAGAACAUGUUAAAGAGACACUUUGCUCUCCCUCCUCUAGUUUCCUAUCAUACUCUCUCAGGAAAAAAACUGUACUUUACCGUUGACUCUAUAGUAUCUCUGUAUCCCAAUCCAAAAAGAAUCUCUUAAGCAAAUCUACAACAAAUUUGUAUUAACAUGUUCAGAAACACCUUGUCUGCCGCAUCUGGUUUCCUAUCAUACUCCCAGAGAAAAAAAAAACUGUUCUGUCACCGAAGACUAUAUUGAUGCUUUGCCUCAGAAACAUUGUACCUGCAUAAGAAAAACCAAACGCACCUCAUCAAAACCAAACGCCUAAGAAAAUAUUGUUAUUGAAACCAAACGCAUAAGAAAAUAUUGUCAUUGAAACCAAACGCACCUCAUAAAAACCUAACGCACCUUAAGAAAAUACCUAAUAAAAACCAAACGCACCUCAUGGCAAGGGAACCAGACUCUCUGUAUACAGGCAACUCCUUGUAGGCCUAUCAAAUCGAUAUUGAGCUAUUUGGGUAUCUUCAAAGCCGCCCUGACCUAUCUGUCUGAUUUUGAUCUUAGCAAAACUUCUAUCAACCGUUACUUCUUCACAAAACACCUUGACCAUUUUUUCCAUGAUGAGAAAGGCUGGAUUGUGAGGUAUAAGCUGAUGUCCUCUAAAAACAAGAAACCUCUCCCAAUUCACAACAUCUCCAACCUGAGUAAUCCAAAGCUCGGUUUUGUCUGCUAUCUGACACAAAAUAGACAGCUUUUGGUGUUCAAAUGGCGACAGAGCCAGUGUUUUUCCACCAGAGAGAGCAACUGCUUUUGGGAGAGUUAUGGCUCUAAAACAUUCGGCAGUGAAGUCAAAGCUCUGGACAAAAUAUUUACCCUCUGUCGCAGCAACCCAAUAUGAGCUCGUUUCAACGGACACGACUCCAAAGUUGCCGUUGCCAUGUGUAAUCCAGUCAUCUAUUAUCUCAACAGUCUUCCAGCGAUGUGAGUCAAGAUCAUAUAACUCAGCUUCUGCUUCUGCUUCAAAAUCACCCUGAUCAUGUCUUCCAUGUGUGAAUCGCAAUACUUUGUAGGAUUUCUUGCUAUCUCUCCCUAGGCAGUAGAAAUCAUAGAAGGAGAGCCCAAUUCUAGGUAUCCAGGCGCAUUCACCAUGAGAGCAACUCCAUAUAGCUAUCCUCCUUGAGAGAGUUUUGGUUGAAGGCUCAUAGCAAGAUGUGCUCAACAGAACCAGGCCAUCACAGUGUGAGAUGCUUCCAAUUUCUUCUCCAAAGUCUUGGAUCCUUGAAUAUGUCGCAGUUUCUAGAUCAAGCUGCCAAACUUGAGAGCCCCUUAUGUGAAGAAACAGCCGCCUCUGACUAACUUGUAAGUGUUUGUAGAUAAACCUUGGGAGGGUAGAGAGACUCCUCCAGUCUUUGCAAGUCAAUUUGAAGCGAAAAAUUGACUUCACUGGAAGGCGUUGAAGAAUCAAUUCAAUAAGAUCCUGAGGAAUAUUCUUUUCUGACACAACCGAGUCUUCAUUUCCAAUCAAAUCACCGGAGCUGUCUUUGAGCAUAUCUCCUUUUGCCUUGAGAUCAUCAGCAGCUUGAGACUCUGAAGUAGCCAUUUUGCGUGAACUCUCAUCAGGCUUUUCUGACACAACCGACUCUUCAUUUCCAAUCAAAUCACCGGAGCUGUCUUUGAGCAUAUCUCCUUUUGCCUUAAGAUCAUCAGCAGCUUGAGACUCUGAAGUAACCAUUUUGCGUGAACUCUCAUCAGGCUUUGGUGGACUCAAGAUAUCUCCAGUUUCCAGAACAAUCUUACCAACCAUUUUCUUCUGCCAGUUAUACAAACCUGAUCAGCAACAACACACAAAAAAAACCAAGACUAAAGCUUAAUCAAAGACUACAGAACAACUCAUUUCUUGACAAUUAUACAAACUCAUGACCACAACCAUUUUCUUUUGCCAGUUAUACAAACCUGAUCAGCAACAACACAAAAAAAAAACCAAGACUGAAGCAAGAGCUUAAUCAAAGACUACAAAACAACUCAUUUCUUGACAAUUAUACAAACUCAUGACCACAACCAUUUUCUUUUGCCAAUUAUACAAAGAAACUUAAAGGUCCUUUAGAGAAAGAUCUAAUCACGAAGGCGGAAGAAGGACUACAAACAACUAUUUCUUACCAAUUAUACAAACCUCAUUAUAUCAAUAUAACACAAGAAAAGCAAGACGUGACCUUUCAUGGAGAUCUUUCUUUAAGGGAUACAUACCUCGACGGAAAAUCAAGAAUCAACAAGAAUCGCGCCGCGCCGUGGAAGUGGAAGUGGAUGUAGACGUGAAUCUGAUUUGAAACGAACUGAUUAGAUACAAUCAAGAAAACCAAGAAAUAGACUUUCAUGGCGAUCGUUCGCAAAACGGGGGAUAAUUCGUACAUACCUGCGCCGCGAAAUUGAACUUGAAACGGAGGGCGAAGGAGAGUGGCGAGGAGAAAAUCGCCGGGGAAAAUGAAGAAACCACGAACUCGAGUUAACCGUUGAAGGUGGAGUAGAGAAAAGUGAUGUUUCCGGCUUUCUUCGCUUAACGAUCAAGAGAACCAAUUUGGAGGCAAAGACUAUAUAUAGGGGAUGUGAAUCUUGCAUGUAGCGAAAAGAAAUUAAGAGUAUAACUGUAAUUAUUUUAUUUUAAUAUAAAUGGUCAUCAUCUUCUUGAUAUUAAAUGUGUUGAGAGUAUUUUUUUUUUAUGGGAUUUUCUCAAGUGUUUUCGUGUUAUUUAAUAAUUAUUUAUAUUUUUUUAAAAAUAUACUUUUUUAAAAAUAUUAUUUAAUAAUUAUUUAUAAUUUUAGUAGUUGAAAGAAAAACUACAUGAUUUAAAUUGUCAAAUUCUCAACUAACAGUAACAUCAUUUAUUAAUCAUCUAUAUUUUGGAACUCAAAAAAUAACUUUUUUUCCAUAAUCAUCCUGGUUUAAGAUUAGCAAAUAUAUAUACUUUGUCAACUUUUCAUUGGAAAUAUUAAAAAACAACAUUUUUGUAUAAAAUAGAGUAGCAUGUUUUAGUCAUAAAUUAACGAUGGUCAUCUUGUUGACCAACAUAAUACUGUAUCUAAUGAUUUUGCUUAUUUGCUCCUUUUUUUGCAGUUUGUAGAGUACAGUAAAAAAAAAAAGGGUACAAUAAUAUUCCUUUUCUAUAUAUGUAUGGAUCUAAAGAAGGUGAGGUGCACUUGAUUCCAAGAAUUUUAUAACAUUUAUACAUGGUUAAAGUUAAUUUCGGAUAAUUGAAUAGAAUACAUUCCGUUUAUUUGCACCCGAAAAAAUAAAGAAUUCGAUGCCUGAAGGCCCUGAACUUUAAAAAAUGAGAAAUUGUAUUGUAAAUGGCAACAAAAAAUAAAAAACUAUUUUUAAUACCGUAUUUUUUAUAAUUAGGCAAUAUUUAAAAACAAUUCUAAUAUCUUAUUAAUAUUUUUAUACAAACACUAUUUGUUACUUUCUUAAAUAAUUCCUUUAUUGAUUAUCAUCAAAAUCAAUCAUAAAAAAAUAAUAUCUGAUUUUUUUGAUCAAUAAUAUCUGAUUAGCCCUUCAUAACGGUUAUAAGAGAGCCGAUGGGACUCAGAACGAUGCCGUUUAGCUCUAUGUUAUUGAUAAACCAAACCGAAUUGGUACGAUCUAAACCAAACCGAGCAAGCCAAUUGAAAUUUCGGAUCGUAAUUUUUUAUUGGUUUAAUUGGGUUGUUGAGUCUUGGCCUUUUAUAAUCAUCGGACCAAAGUGCAUUUCUCUGAUGGGUAUAGAGGAAGAGAUGGUUGAGAUGUUGCAAAUAGGUUUGGCUUGUGGUAACUUGAAGCCACAAGAUCGACAUAAUUCAGCAGAUGUGUUUGUAAAGAUGAUACAAGACAUAAUGAGAAACAACAUAAAUAAACUUUCAAUUCUUAAUCAAAAGCAUUGAUCUGAACGAUAAUAUUGACAAAAGAGAAUAUCGGAUUGGAAGAUGAUGAUCAGGAGAAAAGCUCUCUGAUGAUCUUUUUUUUUUGAAAAGGAACUCUCUGAUUAUUUUGAUAGAGUCGUUGGAGAGAUGACAACCAAAGCCAAUAAGAAAUCAAUUAAAUCUGAUUCGGUGGGGAAGAUAUUGAAGGAGAAGCAGAAGACCCAUAAGGUUGAGGAGACAAGUCAAACGAGAACAUCUCCAAGAUUGUGUAAGCGUAGUUCUACUUAGUUUAAAAAAAAAUUACAUCGUCAAAGAUAUUUAGAUCUAAGGGUACAGUUCAUGAAAUGGAACUUAGUAUUUCGAUUGCUUAUAAAUCCACCUAUGUUGCAAUCCAUUAUUUCUAUAUAACGUUACUAACCGAAUGUGUUUAUAAACCUGUAACAAGAAAACUGUUGGCCCUGGAGCACCUUUUACGAAAGAGUCUCUUGCUGAAGCUAAGAUAAAAUUAGAAGCCUUGGACGAGAAAGAUAGGGAAAGAAGAAGAACGCCUGAGUUGAAAAACAACCUUGAAUAUUAUGUUUAUGCUACCAAAGAGAAGGAGCGACUUGACUCACUAAAAGCCAUUGGCAGUCCCAUAUCUUUGCGGUCAGAGGAGCUUACAGCACGACCAGUAGCAGUUGACUACACUCAGAAAUACCCAACCGAAGUGAAAGAGAUCAUAAAAGAGUGGGAGACGAACAAAACUUGGCUCCCGAAAGUAAAACUCGACGAGGUGUCAAAGGAAGCGGAGAAGGUAAAAAGCUGGUUGGAGUAGAAUGACGCUGAGCAGAAAAAGUGAGUGUGAGAGUGUGAAAGUGAAGGACAAAAAGCAAAAACCAGUUUUCCCUGGUCUUCUUCCGCAAAACCCAUCUCAUACCGUCCUUCGGAUCAACCUCCACGAGGGCAAGUCAUGACCAAGUAUGAUCCUGUUGAGAUAUCUCCUAGGGAUAUCGAGUGGAUUGCAGAGGAUCAUGGGGCAGGUAAUCCAUAUGGUUACAACGGACAGGCCAAUGUUCUGAGUAGAACUACAGGACCAAACAAUGUUCUACAAAAGGGAAGCAGUUUGGCUAAGACCUCUAUCAAAAACGAACUCAGACCAUCACAGAAUGGAACUGGGAAAAGGAACCAUGUCGAUAUACGAAUCAGUCGUCCGACCAGUGUCCUAAUCAGAGAGGUGGAGAGAGUUCGUGGUUCACACAAUCCAGAUCCUCAAGAAGUUGAAAUGGCAAAGAGAGUUUUGGAGGAGCAAGAACAUGCGCUUGUGGGUGCAAUAACAAAGCUUGGAGACAUAUCCAAAUGGAGAAAAUGGCAUGUGUUUAGUUUGCAGAGGAGCUUUGAUUAACAUAUUAUUUAUAUAUAAUAACAGAGUUUUAUCUGUGUGUGUGUGUUUUAAGUGUCAGUAAAGCCAAGCGGGGAUGAGCAAAUAGGAUUUUAUUCCUUUCUCAUCUUCUUCAUAUGGAUUUCGGCUUUCAGGCCUUACGUGGAUAAAACCAAAAAAAGUGUUUGUGGGAACAAUAUAACUUCAUUUUAAGCCAAAGACCUUAGCAAAUAUAUAUACUUUGUCAACUUUUCAUUGAAAUGUUAAAAACAACAUUUUUGUAUAAAAUAGAGUAGCAUGUUUUAGUCAUAAAUUAACGAUGGUCAUCUUGUUGACCAACAUAAUACUGUAUCUAAUGAUUUGCUUAUUUGCUCCUUUUUUUUUCAGUUUGUAGAGUACAGUAAAAAAAAAUGGGUACAAUAAUACUCCUUUUCUAUAUUUUUUUAUUAUUUUUUUUGUUCAACAUACUCCUUUUUUAUAUAUGUAUGGAUUUAAAGAAGGUGAGGUGCACUUGCUUCCAAGAAUUUUAUAACAUUUAUACAUGGUUAAAGUUAAUUUCGGAUAAUUGAAGAGAAUGCAUUCCUUUUAUUUGCACCCGAAAAAAUAAAGAAUUCGAUGUCUGAAGGCCCUGAACUUUGAAAAAUGAGAAAUUGCAUUGUAAAUGGCAACAAAAAAAAAACUAUUUCUAAUACUGUAUUUUUUUUUUAUAAUUAGGCAAUAUUUAAAAACAAUUCUAAUAUCUUAUUAAUAUUUUUAUACAAACACUAUCUGUUACUUUCUUAAAUAAUUCCUUUAUUGAUUAUCAUCAAAAUCACUCAUAAAAAAUAAUAUCUGAUUAGCCCUUCAUAACAAACGUGGUUGUGGUUCGGUUUUACCAUAUCGAACAAACCUAGGUUUACGGUUUGUGUAACAAGGACAAGGCUUCAAGAUGUUUACAUGUAAUUUUUUCGUGAGGUUAUAAGAGAGCCGAUGGGACUCAGAACGGUGCCGUUUUGCUCUAUGUUAUUGAUAAACGAAACCGAAUUGGUACGAUCUAAGCCAAACCGAGCAAGACAUUUGAAAUUUCGGAUCGUAAUUUUUGAUUGGUUUAAUUGGGUUGUUGAGUCUUGGCCUUUUAUAAUCGGACCAAAGUGCAUAUCUCUGAUGGGUAUAGAGGAAGAGAUGGUUGAGAUGUUGCAAAUAGGUUUGGCUUGUGGUGACUUGAAGCCACAAGAUCGACAUAAUUCAGAAGAUGUUUUGUAAAGAUGGUACAAGACAUAAUGAGAAACAACAUAAAUAAACUUUCAAUUCUUAAUCAAAAGCAUUGAUCUGAACGAUAAUAUUGACAAAAGAGAAUAUCGGAUUGGAAGAUGAUGAUCAGGAGAAUAUGGUAGUGGUUAUUAACCAAAAAAAAAUAACUUAUAGGUUUUCAUGCCUCGUUAUAAAAUAUAUAUAUAUUUACAUGUUUCUACUUAUGAUCGGUUUUGUUCGGUUUAUUCGGUUUAAUUGGUUAUAAACCAAACCAUAUCUAUAUCCUACGGUUUUUUUAUAAAAUCACAUUCAUUCGGUUUGUAUGGUAUAUACCAAAACCAAACCAUAUGUUAUUGAUAAACCUGUUCCAAAAAAAAAAAAAAAAAAAAAAAAAAAAUGUUAUUGAUAAACCAAACCGAAUUGGUACGAUCUAAACCAAACCGAGCAAGACAAUUGAAAUUUCGGAUCGUAAUUUUUCAUUGGUUUAAUUGGGUUGUUGAGUCUUGGCCUUUUAUAAUCGGACCACAGUGCAUUUCUCUGAUGGGUAUAGAGGAAGAGAUGGUUGAGAUGUUGCAAAUAGGUUUGGCUUGUGGUAACUUGAAGCCACAAGAUCGACAUAAUUCAGCAGAUGUGUUUGCAAAGAUGAUACAAGACAUAAUGAGAAACAACAUAAAUAAACUUUCAAUUCUUAAUCAAAAGCAUUACUGGUUCUUGCUAAAUGAACAUUAUCAUAAGCUAACUGAUUCCAUACAGACAAGAACCAUAGAGAAAGCAUUUGAAAACUUAGUUACUGAACAUAAAGAAGAUCUAACGAGAAGAUCGGAAAGGAUUGAUUGAUCUGGUUUUGACGAAGAUGAUGAUGAUGAA